CUACGGGCCGCUCCAGUGAGGAAUAUUGCACAAUGGGGGGAACCCUGAUGCAGCAACGCCGCGUGGAGGAUGACGCAUUUCGGUGUGUAAACUCCUUUUAUAUGUCAAGAAAAUGACGGUAGCAUAUGAAUAAGCGCCGGCUAACUCCGUGCCAGCAGCCGCGGUAAUACGGAGGGCGCAAGCGUUACUCGGAAUCACUGGGCGUAAAGGACGCGUAGGCGGGUUGAAAAGUCAGGUGUGAAAGCCUACAGCUUAACUGUAGAACUGCACUUGAAACUCUCAACCUAGAGUAUGGGAGGGGCAGAUGGAAUUAGUGGUGUAGGGGUAAAAUCCGUAGAUAUCACUAGGAAUACCUAGAGCGAAGGCGAUCUGCUGGAACAUUACUGACGCUAAGGCGUGAAAGCGUGGGGAGCAAACAGGAUUAGAUACCCCUGUAGUC
rnacentral:rRNA from 1 species